GCGGGUUUGGUUACAAGCUGAGUCAGUAGGGCUGAGCCAACUCAACAAAGAAUGCAAGAUCUGGCCUCAGACAUGCAAUCCCAGGGAGGAGCAAAAGGAGGAGGAACAAAGAGGUGAGGCAGCAAAAGUGGUCUCCCAAAUGAGGAUGUGUUAUCAAGCUGGCCACCUGCAACAAUCCUUAUUGAGAGUGCUUACUUAACCAGCUGGAGGCACAAGUGAAUUUUAAUAGACUAUUCCACUAUUCUGUGAGACCAGCUGCUUCUGGGGGUUGGGUACGUGAUAAGACCAGCGAUUCUAAUGGGCUACAGCCCAUUAUCUAACUUGGACUCCUUGGUUAGAAGCAAUGUUGUACAAGAUACCAUGGCCAUUUUUAAGGCCUCUGAAAAGUCCUCAGACAGUGGUUCUGGCAUGGCAUGGCAGGCGAAGAAAA